rnacentral:rRNA from 1 species
UAGAGUUUGAUCCUGGCUCAGGACGAACGCUGGCGGCGUGCCUAAUACAUGCAAGUCGAGCGGACCGAAUAGAAGCUUGCUUCUGUUUGGUUAGCGGCGGACGGGUGAGUAACACGUGGGCAACCUGCCCGUAAGACGGGGAUAACUUCGGGAAACCGGAGCUAAUACCCGAUAACCCUGAAGACCGCAUGGUCUUUAGUUGAAAGGCGGCUUCGGCUGUCACUUACGGAUGGGCCCGCGGCGCAUUAGCUAGUUGGUGAGGUAACGGCUCACCAAGGCGACGAUGCGUAGCCGACCUGAGAGGGUGAUCGGCCACACUGGGACUGAGACACGGCCCAGACUCCUACGGGAGGCAGCAGUAGGGAAUCUUCCGCAAUGGACGAAAGUCUGACGGAGCAACGCCGCGUGAGCGAAGAAGGUCUUCGGAUUGUAAAGCUCUGUUGUUAGGGAAGAACAAGUGCGGUUCGAAUAGGGCCGUACCUUGACGGUACCUAACGAGAAAGCCACGGCUAACUACGUGCCAGCAGCCGCGGUAAUACGUAGGUGGCAAGCGUUGUCCGGAAUUAUUGGGCGUAAAGCGCGCGCAGGCGGUUCCUUAAGUCUGAUGUGAAAGCCCACGGCUCAACCGUGGAGGGUCAUUGGAAACUGGGGGACUUGAGUGCAGAAGAGGAGAGCGGAAUUCCACGUGUAGCGGUGAAAUGCGUAGAGAUGUGGAGGAACACCAGUGGCGAAGGCGGCUCUCUGGUCUGUAACUGACGCUGAGGCGCGAAAGCGUGGGGAGCAAACAGGAUUAGAUACC